rnacentral:lncRNA from 1 species
AUGGCAGCAAUCCCCAGAUGAUGUGACAGCGUAGUGGCUUUAUUUCCUUAGCUUCUGCUUUUAAUAGAAUCUUAUAAAAGAUUUGAGUUUGAUGUUCAAAAAAUUUUUUUGCCAAGAGUGUUUUCAUGUUUAAUUAUGCUUUUUGUUUCUUGCGUUUAUUGGAAUUACACAUAGAAAAGUAGAGUUGUAAUUUUCAAACUCCAUAGUGGUUUUUUUUUCAAAAAUCAGAAUGUUAUUGUAAAUGAUAUAGUUGGAUUUUUUUUAAUAUUCCCACUCAAUACCAUUUCAAAAUACUACUGCUGUGUAGUUACUUAGUUUCUUUAAAAAGAAAAAUAAUUAGAUUUUUUAAUGAAAUUGAGUUUUAGUUUAAGAGCAUAUAGCUCUAAAUGCACAGAUAGUGAUUUUUGCUGUUCUAUUUUAUUGUAGGUAACACUAGUUGGUCUUUCUACAGUAUUACUGUAGUUUUCAAUAUAGCCUGGGUUUACUUGUUGCAGCUAAGAAAAUAAUUUUUAUUUCCUCAUUUUUGUUCUCUUUCAUUGACACUAAUUAGUGAAAACUAGUUAAGAAGAAACAACAAAUUAAUACAUGGCAGAAAUUCUUCAAAAGAAAAAGAUUUCUAUUAAAGGGUUCAAGAAUUCUGAAGUCAGCAAUCACAAAUUAAACUGAUAGUGAGUCUUUUUCUUUCUCUAGUGGCUUACUCACUGCCAUGUCAUAUCUUUAUGGGACCAUAAAACAUGCUGAUAAAUGUUUUAACACCUGACUCUGGUCAAUAAACUGCUAAAUAAACUGCCAGUUUUGUGAUAGAAACUCUUGUUCACCCACAGCCGAGAAGGUGGUGCGGCUGCAUGCUUUAACUCUGGUGCUGGACACUGGACACUGUGCUCACCUCUGCUAGCUCACGGUCCCACUACUCAAGGAGUAGGCUUGCUCUAAAAUGUGGGUCAGUAUUAGUGAAAACACAAGCUAUCUGCCCUUGACUGUAGACAUAUUGAAGCCACAAGACUUAGAGGUCAAAGUCAUUGGAACUAUUUAUUCCUAUUCACAGAAUUACCUUGGAUCCAGGGUUUAUUGUCUUACUGUUGAGUAUUAGGGCUUCAGGAUCUCAUGAUAGCUCAAAAAAAAAAAAAAAAAAAAAGAACUUAUUCUUAAAAUAGCGCAGUUUUCGAUGUGUAACAAAUCUUCCACUUGGACACUCUUAUGACUGAGUCAUUUUAGGUUCUUAUUGUAAAACAUUUCAGAGCUGCUUCAUUACCUUGCAAUUUAUAUAAUUAAAUAGACAAAAGAAUAAAGAGAAUGUAGGAAGUGAGAAACAUUCCUGUUUUAUAUAGCUAAAUAUAAUUUUAUUACCUUCUUCUUAGCUGUCCCCAAAUAAAGUUGUGAGUGGGGCAAAUUUGUCUUGAGAUCAUUUGAUUCUUUUAUUUUUCUCUUCCUGUUCACAGUUUACUGUCAAAAAACAUAACUUGGCCUCCAUGAUUCUUAUUGCUCUGAAUGUUUCUGUCAUGGCAGCACCUUGGUAGACCAUAGAGGACUGGCCGUGCAGUGAAGAGUUGGAUUCAGGCCUAACUCGAAACUUCUCAAAGCAUACCAGUUUAUGGGAUCAUCUGUGCCACACAUACAGAGCUGGUAGCUGGUAUCCCGCAGCAGUUCCAGUUUUUAAACCUAAACAUGAAAGACUUACAUUGAUUAGUAACUAACUGUGCUGGUUAUUUUCACCAAGCCCUUCAUUCAUGGACUGUUUGAACGGUGGUCUGUGCCCACCACCCUCAGAGGCCGUGGUGGGUAUACCCACAGAGGGCAGCUCCUUGUGUUUACCAUUCCAUCUUUAACUCCUGCAGAUUUACCAGAUGAUAAUGAUUCUCCACAUUGACCAAAAGGUGGCAGUUUUAUAUGAGCAACAUAUCACAACUCCAGAACAGUUUUUAUUCUUGUUUCAUUUCUAUUUGUGUGAUUUC